UUUAUGAGAGGCAAUGAAAUGCGUCAAGCUCAGGAUGGUCUUUAAGUAUUCUGCCUUUUAUGUAUCUAAUUAUCUUCGUGUUUUUGUUGAUGUCGCUAGCAUGAUUGGAAGGUCCUUUUUGAAAUGUGUCAACCGAUAGAAGAAAUGUAACAAUAUCAAAUGUCUCAGAAGCCAUUGUUGACAUCCCAGUUCCAAAAGAUGUCAAAUUAUAAUUAUGUCCACCGACAAUAGAAGAUGCAGAUGAUCAUUCCAAAUCUAAUAUAGUGUAUGAGGAGAUCAUUCAAAAUGCAUUCACAUGAAAUCCUAACUUCUCUAUCAUUCGGAAGAAAAUCUACUAAACCAAAAAAGCCACCAAAUGUUUUCCAGUAAAAGCUAUUAGAAGACUCCGCACUACGUAACAAGGUUAGUGAAGCUUACACCCCAUUGUUAGAACUUAAAAUAGCACUUUUGAAGGAGUAGAACGAUUUUUUUUCAAAAUGAGAAAUCUUCAAGUUUUUAAAAUGUCUUGCCCAUAUAUUUGUCCGAUUAAAUAGAAUACUUACUUGAUUUUAAAGUUGAUUCAAAUUUUUUGUUUUAGGGUGAUAGAGGUCAAGAAUGAUGACACUCAUAGUAAAAGUUUGAUCUCAAAGUAUAUUUUCUAAUUUGUUGGUGUGAUUUAGUUCUUAAAUUGAGAAGUUUAAAGGUUCAUAGACCCUGACAUGAGUGCUACAAUAAAAAGUAUAUUUCCAUGUUGUUGGUAUUCUAUGUUAAUAGAAACUUCUCCCGCUGAGUUUACAGGUAGCUUCAUGUUCCCUAUCAAUAAAAAGGACUCAAUUGGAUAUGGUAGGUGAUUUACAUGAUCUAUAAUGAUAUUUAGUGGAAAUCAGUUUUCUCUUCUUUCACACAUAAAUGAUUGUGUCUUGAGGGGACAAGCUAAUUUCUUAAAUCAUUAUUGCCGUGUAAAUAUUUGUCACCUGAAUGAUUCUAAUUGAAAUAAAGCAGCAUUGUUGGUAAAAUAAAACUUUAACACUGCAACAAAGAGUAGUACAAAUAGUAGCCUAAAGUGUAUAAACAAGAUCAUUUUUGGAGAUAUUUUUAAUUCACUUGCAGCUCUUCCACGAUGACAUCUGUUAACAGGCGUGGAGUGGAGUGAGCAACAACUAAUUGUCUUUGUAGUUUCAUGUUGUUAGUGUUUUGUGGUGAUAGAAACUUCUCCUCUCAAGUUUGGAGGUUAGCUUCAUGUUCCCUAUCGAUGAAAAAGACUCAAUCAAUUAUUCACGUGGAUCAAAAAUUUGUACCAUAUGCAUUACCGAUAAUAUGGACGAACAAGUGCAUUGUUAUAAUUUUAUAGGAACGAGAUGUGUUAAACUUGAUUCUUCUCAGAAAGUCACAUGUAUUUACUUGAAACACGUGUCUCGCCACCUUUUCCUUUGAUGUUUAAUCUCUCUCUCACUCAAUAUCCAUCUUUUCAGAAGAAAAACUUAUAUGGAGCUUUGAAUUUCUUCGGUAUAUGUUUGUUUCUGGUUACAUGUCCAUGCAUUUUCAGAUUUUCGUUAUUCACUUCCUCCCUGAUUUUCUAUUAUUUUAUGCCCGUAUUCUUCUUCAGACCUAGAUUCCCAAUCUCGAGAUAUUAUCUCCCUUCAUCUAAAAUUUCUGAAGGAGUGGAUUCUUUCGCAUAAUACUAAAAAAAUUAGUAGUUUUACGGUUGAGUUUGUUCUUUAAUCUCUUUUUGAUUUUUUUUAAACUAAAAGCCUCUAACUACUGGAUCAAGCGCACUGGUAAUGGACUGACAGUAAGAUUUUCCCCUCUAUUUGUUAGUAUAACUUAUACAUUCAUUAUACAUAGUUUGUUUUUUAUUUACCAAUUAAUUCCUUUUAAGCUUCCUAUUUAUUUUGCUUUCUUUUGAUAAGAUUCUCAGGUUGAGGUUUGAUGCUAUCUCUGUUAUGAUAGAAACGUGCAAAUGCAAUUCCAUAUAUAAAUAAGCUGGUGACCUUUUUUUUCAAAAGGUAUCUUUAUUCCUUCUGUGUUUCUCCUUCUUAAUGUAUUCCGUUAAAUUUGAUAAAUUUUUCUUAUGUUUUCUUGAGAUACACGUCGUUUGAAGAUUUCC
rnacentral:lncRNA from 1 species